GUUGUAAUAGUUUAAUUAAAAUUUUAUUUUGUGGAAAUAAAGAUACAUUGUGUUUAUAACA
rnacentral:tRNA from 1 species